CCCUUAGAUGUCCUGGGCUGCACGCGCGCUACACUGAUGUGUCCAGUAAGCACCUAACCUAUUCCGAGAGGAGCGGGUAACCUUAGCAAAGCACAUCGUGAUGGGGAUAGAUUAUUGCAAUUAUUAGUCUUGAACGAGGAAUUCCUAGUAAGCACAAGUCAUCAGCUUGUGUUGAUUACGUCCCUGCCCUUUGUACACACCGCCCGUCGCUCCUACCGAUUGAAUGUUCCGGUGAGCUCUUCGGACUGCGCGGUCUGCAGUUUCUGCGUUCCGUGCGGAAAGUUGUGCAAACCUUAACAUUGAGAGGAAGGAGAAGUCGUAACA
rnacentral:rRNA from 1 species